ncrna:unclassified sequences Actino-pnp RNA
AUCGGUCCUCGGUUGUGGCUCCCGGGCCAAAUUUAUUAAUUUAAAUCCCGUGGGCUUCCAUCGAAGAUCCGU